rnacentral:misc_RNA from 1 species
CUUGGUCAUUUAGAGGAAGUAAAAGUCGUAACAAGGUCUCCGUUGGUGAACCAGCGGAGGGAUCAUUACAGAGUUGCAAAACUCCCUAAACCAUUGUGAACGUUACCUAAACCGUUGCUUCGGCGGGCGGCCCGGGUCCUUCCCGGCGCCCCCCGGCCCUCGCGGGCGCCCGCCGGAGGUAAACCAAACUAUUGCAUUAAUGGCCUCUCUGAGUCUUCUGUACUGAAUAAGUCAAAACUUUCAACAACGGAUCUCUUGGUUCUGGCAUCGAUGAAGAACGCAGCAAAAUGCGAUAAGUAAUGUGAAUUGCAGAAUUCAGUGAAUCAUCGAAUCUUAGUAUUCUGGCGGGCAUGCCUGUUCGAGCGUCAUUUCAACCAUCAAGCCCCCGGCUUGUGUUGGGGACCUGCGGCUGCCGCAGGCCCUGAAAUGCAGUGGCGGGCUCGCUGUCACUCCGAGCGUAGUAGUUACAUCUCGCUCUGGGCGUGCUGCGGGUUCCGGCCGUUAAAAGCCUUAUUUACCCAAGGUUGACCUCGGAUCAGGUAGGAAUACCCGCUGAACUUAAGCAUAUCAAUAAGCGGAGGA